rnacentral:rRNA from 1 species
GACGAACGCUGGCGGCGUGCUUAACACAUGCAAGUAGAACGGAAAGGCCCUGCUUUUGUGGGGUGCUCGAGUGGCGAACGGGUGAGUAACACGUGAGUAACCUGCCCUUGACUUUGGGAUAACUUCAGGAAACUGGGGCUAAUACCGGAUAGGAGCUCCUGCUGCAUGGUGGGGGUUGGAAAGUUUCGGCGGUUGGGGAUGGACUCGCGGCUUAUCAGCUUGUUGGUGGGGUAGUGGCUUACCAAGGCUUUGACGGGUAGCCGGCCUGAGAGGGUGACCGGCCACAUUGGGACUGAGAUACGGCCCAGACGCCUACGGGAGGCAGCAGUGGGGAAUAUUGCACAAUGGGCGGAAGCCUUAUGCAGCAACGCCGCGUGCGGGAUGACGGCCUUCGGGUUGUAAACCGCGUUCGCCUGUGACGAAGCGUGAGUGACGGUAAUGUGUAAAGAAGCACCGGCUAACUACGUG